CUCAGGACGAACGCUGGCGGCGUGCCUAACACAUGCAAGUCGAGCGGAGUUAACAAGAGGAAGUUUCGGAUGGAAUUUGUAAUUAGCGGCGGACGGGUGAGUAACGCGUGAGCGACCAACCUUGCACAGGGGGAUAACGGACCGAAAGGUUCACUAAUACCGCAUGAGACCACGGUGUUGCAUGACACAGAGGUCAAAGGAGCAAUCCGGUGCAAGACGGGCUCGCGUCCGAUUAGGUAGUUGGUGGGGUAAUGGCCCACCAAGCCUAUGAUCGGUAGCCGACCUGAGAGGGUGAUCGGCCACAUUGGAACUGAGAUACGGUCCAAACUCCUACGGGAGGCAGCAGUGGGGAAUAUUGGGCAAUGGGGGGAAACCCUGACCCAGCAACGCCGCGUGAAGGAAGAAGGUUUUCGGAUUGUAAACUUCUGUCCUUGGUGAAGAGAAGAAGACGGUAGCCAAGGAGGAAGCCCCGGCUAACUACGUGCCAGCCGCCGC
rnacentral:rRNA from 1 species